UCCCCUGCACAACAAAGCUGACGUUAUUAAUUCACUCUGGGACCCAGUGUGUUUGUCACAACUCCUUUGAUGCCAAGUGAUAUAAUAACAACUCAAACCAGCUAAAACCAGAAAAAGAAUUAAUAAAUUAUUAACUCAGAAGUUUCCAUCUUCAGGUGGUGUCUCAAUCUGUGGCAAAGAAGGCUCCAAGGCUCCAGGGCUGCACACCUUUACUGCUGGUGGGAAUUCAGUGUGAUUGUGGGAGGACAUGAUGCCUGGCACCACAGCAGCCUCUUCUUAACCUGAGGAAUCAUACCUGAAGAUGGUCGAGUGGAGCAAUGCAAAGAACCAGAUGCCAAGAAUCUGGGCUUCCAACAGUAUCACUGAGCUGCUGAAUUGACUAGCCCUGCACCUGGGACCUCUUUCUAGUUGGCAAGAUAAUGUAUUCUCAUUGUUGAAGCCACUUUUAAGAAGGAUGGAUUCUUAACCACUGGACCAUCAGGGAAGUCCCUGAGAAGGUACUCUUUACUUGCAACUGAAAGCAUCCUACCUGAUAAGAAUGGUUGAACUGACUUCUUCAGUCAGAGAGGUAGGAAUUGGCUC